rnacentral:rRNA from 1 species
AACGAACGCUGGCGGCAUGCCUAACACAUGCAAGUCGAACGAGACCUUCGGGUCUAGUGGCGCACGGGUGCGUAACGCGUGGGAACCUGCCCUUAGGUUCGGAAUAACUCCCCGAAAGGGGUGCUAAUACCGGAUAAUGUCUUCGGACCAAAGAUUUAUCGCCUUUGGAUGGGCCCGCGUUGGAUUAGCUAGUUGGUAGGGUAAAAGCCUACCAAGGCGACGAUCCAUAGCUGGUCUGAGAGGAUGAUCAGCCACACUGGGACUGAGAAACGGCCCAGACUCCGGGGUGAGAGAGCUGGGAAGAGGAGGGAAGUGAAGGAGAACGCGAGAGACAGGAUUGGGGCGGGGGGGAGGCAGGUUUGGUGGUAGGACACACCUUUUACAGAGAAGGAUAAUGACAGAACCGGGAGAGCAAGCUCCAGCUAACUCCGCGACAGCCGCCGCGAUAAUAACGAGAGCUCACAUCUCACC